AUUGAACGCUGGCGGCAUGCCUUACACAUGCAAGUCGAACGGCAGCACGGAGCUUGCUCUGGUGGCGAGUGGCGAACGGGUGAGUAAUAUAUCGGAACGUACCCUAGAGUGGGGGAUAACGUAGCGAAAGUUACGCUAAUACCGCAUACGAUCUAAGGAUGAAAGUGGGGGAUCGCAAGACCUCAUGCUCGUGGAGCGGCCGAUAUCUGAUUAGCUAGUUGGUAGGGUAAAAGCCUACCAAGGCAUCGAUCAGUAGCUGGUCUGAGAGGACGACCAGCCACACUGGAACUGAGACACGGUCCAGACUCCUACGGGAGGCAGCAGUGGGGAAUUUUGGACAAUGGGCGAAAGCCUGAUCCAGCAAUGCCGCGUGAGUGAAGAAGGCCUUCGGGUUGUAAAGCUCUUUUGUCAGGGAAGAAACGGUGAGAGCUAAUAUCUCUUGCUAAUGACGGUACCUGAAGAAUAAGCACCGGCUAACUACGUGCCAGCAGCCGCGGUAAUACGUAGGGUGCAAGCGUUAAUCGGAAUUACUGGGCGUAAAGCGUGCGCAGGCGGUUUUGUAAGUCUGAUGUGAAAUCCCCGGGCUCAACCUGGGAAUUGCAUUGGAGACUGCAAGGCUAGAAUCUGGCAGAGGGGGGUAGAAUUCCACGUGUAGCAGUGAAAUGCGUAGAUAUGUGGAGGAACACCGAUGGCGAAGGCAGCCCCCUGGGUCAAGAUUGACGCUCAUGCACGAAAGCGUGGGGAGCAAACAGGAUUAGAUACCCUGGUAGUCCACGCCCUAAACGAUGUCUACUAGUUGUCGGGUCUUAAUUGACUUGGUAACGCAGCUAACGCGUGAAGUAGACCGCCUGGGGAGUACGGUCGCAAGAUUAAAACUCAAAGGAAUUGACGGGGACCCGCACAAGCGGUGGAUGAUGUGGAUUAAUUCGAUGCAACGCGAAAAACCUUACCUACCCUUGACAUGGCUGGAAUCCUUGAGAGAUCAGGGAGUGCUCGAAAGAGAACCAGUACACAGGUGCUGCAUGGCUGUCGUCAGCUCGUGUCGUGAGAUGUUGGGUUAAGUCCCGCAACGAGCGCAACCCUUGUCAUUAGUUGCUACGAAAGGGCACUCUAAUGAGACUGCCGGUGACAAACCGGAGGAAGGUGGGGAUGACGUCAAGUCCUCAUGGCCCUUAUGGGUAGGGCUUCACACGUCAUACAAUGGUACAUACAGAGCGCCGCCAACCCGCGAGGGGGAGCUAAUCGCAGAAAGUGUAUCGUAGUCCGGAUUGUAGUCUGCAACUCGACUGCAUGAAGUUGGAAUCGCUAGUAAUCGCGGAUCAGCAUGUCGCGGUGAAUACGUUCCCGGGUCU
rnacentral:rRNA from 1 species